rnacentral:rRNA from 1 species
UACGGAGGGGGCGAGCGUUGUCCGGAAUUAUUGGGCGUAAAGCGUCCGCAGGCGGCGAAUCAAGUCUGUUGUGAAAGCGCGGAGCUUAACUGCAAAGGUGCAAUGGAAACUGAGAGACUCGAGGACAGUAGGGGAGACGGGAAUUCCCAGUGUAGCGGUGAAAUGCGUAGAUAUCGGGAAGAACACCAGCGGCGAAGGCGGGCGACUGGACUGAGACUGACGCUGAGGGGCGAAAGCUAGGGGAGCGAAAGGG